AUUGAACGCUGGCGGCAUGCUUUACACAUGCAAGUCGAACGGUAACAGGGUGCUUGCACCGCUGACGAGUGGCGAACGGGUGAGUAAUGCGUCGGAACGUGCCGAGUAGUGGGGGAUAACGCAGCGAAAGUUGUGCUAAUACCGCAUACGUACUGAGGUAGAAAGUGGGGGACCUUCGGGCCUCACGCUAUUCGAGCGGCCGACGUCGGAUUAGCUAGUAGGUGAGGUAAGAGCUCACCUAGGCGACGAUCAGUAGCGGGUCUGAGAGGAGGCUACGCCACACGAGGACUGAGACACGGUCCAGACUCCUACGGGAGGCGGCAGUGUGGAAUGUUGGACAAUGGGCGCAAGCCUGAUCCAGCCAUGCCGCGUGUCUGAAGAAGGCCUUCGGGUUGUAAAGGACUUUUGUCAGGGAGGAAAUCCUAGUGGCUAAUAACUGCUGGGGAUGACAGUACCUGAAGAAUAAGCACCGGCUAACUACGUGCCAGCCGCCGCAGUAAAAC
rnacentral:rRNA from 1 species